rnacentral:rRNA from 1 species
CUCCCAAAAGGUAACGGAGGCGCUCAAAGGUUCUCUCAGUACGGUCGGAAAUCGUACGUAGAGUGUAAAGGCAAAAGAGAGCUUGAUUGCAAGACAUACAGGGCGAGCAAGGAUGAAAAUCGGACUUAGUGAUCCGGUGGUUCUGCGUGGAAGGGCCAUCGCUCAACGGAUAAAAGCUACCCUGGGGAUAACAGGCUUAUCUCCC